UACGGAGGGUGCAAGCGUUAUCCGGAUUCACUGGGUUUAAAGGGUGCGUAGGUGGGCAGGUAAGUCAGUGGUGAAAUCUCCGGGCUUAACCCGGAAACUGCCAUUGAUACUAUUUGUCUUGAAUACUGUGGAGGUCAGCGGAAUAUGUCAUGUAGCGGUGAAAUGCUAGAUAUGACAUAGAACACCAAUUGCGAAGGCAGCUGGGCUACACAAAUAUUGACACUGAGGCACGAAAGCCGUGGGGAUCAAACAGG
rnacentral:rRNA from 1 species